UUCCUGCCCUGUCUGCCACUGUGCUGUGUGCCCUCAUCCCUGAUCUACUACAUGUCACACAAAUAAGCUGCCCGUGAAAGUGAUGCUUGGGAUAUCAAUGUACAAUUUAUGGAUUCUGAGUGGAGGUAGGACAUGGCUGUCUCAUUGAAUGACUCAGCUGAUGUAGUGUCAGCCAUCAACUGUCAGGCUACAUCAUGUCUCAUGAGACCAGGAAUGAUGGACAUUUAUUAAGUUUUGAUGGGAGUUCCUGGGAACAAUGGGAUGGCUGAAGCCUAUAGAAACCAGUCCACUCUGCUAAGAUGGGUUUGAACAAUGGAGUUACUAAAGAACCUGGACAGGGGACUCAGGAAGACAUAGGAAGUUUAGGCUGGGAAAGGGAGGGGGCAGGGCAUGCUUUUCUAGCAGACAGACCAGCCAAGGAAGAGGAAACUGGGCUGAGAAGGAAAGAGUGAGAGAAGCCAGUGAAAGGGCCAGCACUGUUUACUCUGACCAUGGGAAGCUUAAGAGCACAAUUUUGUUGGGAACCAGAUCCUGAAGCCUGGUGAUGCUGCCACUAAGAAUGCCCUACCAGGGCAGAUUCACAUGAAAAUAGGCAAGACUUUAUCAAAAUGACCAUUCUUAAAAUCAUGGGUCUGGAUGGGUCGGUCAUCUCAUCCAUCCCUAUACACAGAGGCAGGUUUUGCUGCAUCUAAAUCAGUCCUGAUGGAUGCCUAUCCAGCAUCUUAAAACCAUGCACUGAAGGAGAUCCUACAAUUGCUGUAGGUAGUUUAACUGCACUGACAUUUGGGAAUUUUCCUCUGAGGUUUAACUUGAAUCUGCCUCCUGUAGUUUAAAGCUAUUGCUUCCUGCCCAACUUUUAGCAGUUAGAUAGGAUAAUUAUACACCAUCCUUUUUAUGGCAACAUUUUACAUAUUUGAAACUGUUAUCACCUCACCCCUUCACCUGCCUUUCUUCCGAUUAAUUAUUCUGAGCUCAUUCAACCAUUCCUCGCAUGGCUUGGUUGCCAUCACACCUGUUGCUCUCUUUUAUAUCUUCUCCAAUUUCUCCACAUCCUUCUUAAAAUGUGGUGCCCAAAAAUGGACACAAUAUUCUAUUUAGUUCCAACUUAACACCAAUAAGGAUGUUAAGGAAUAUUACCUUACAUAUCUUGGAUAUGAGGUUUUUGCCAAUGCAGUCCAAGGUGGUAUAUGCCUUUUUCACAAAAGCAUCUCAGUGCUAACUCAUAGUCAUUUUGUGGUCCCCCACAACACCCAAAUCCUCAGCUGUGCUCAGCUAUCCUUCAUUUUGUAUCUGUUGAAUUGGUUUGUCUGUUAGGUGAAGUACCUUACUUCUGUCCUUGUUGGAUUUCAUGUUAUUGUUCAUGACCUAAUUCUCUGAUUUAUUGAGAGCAUUUUGGAUUUUCUAUCCCACCCACAUCUGUGUUGUCCGCAAAUUUCAUUACUGUAUUCUCCAGUCAUUUAUUCAAAUUGUUAAUAAAAAGAUUAAUAGUAUUGGACACGGAACAUUUCCCUGGUGUUAGGGUAGGUUGUUAUGUUUAAUGGUUUGAAGUUGCACCUGCUUAUAGUAUUGUUUAUAUUUAGCUUUAUUUAAUUAUUGCUUAAACUUUGUCCUUAUUAACUUUUCAUUUUUAUUAGCCUGCUUUGAGUUGUUUUUGUAGAUAUCAUAGUGCUCAUUAUACCUUUUCUUUUUUUAUCACUGUGAGAAGUUUUUUUAACAUAACAUAGCAAUGGCCUUGUUAUCAGCUCCAAUUAACUGAACUUGGCACUAACCAGUGAAUAAGAGGAUGAAAGGAUUGGAUAUAUUAAUGAAAGGUGAUAAGGGAGACCAAUGGACAAUGCCCAAAGUAAGACAUCAGAAAAAGGCCAAAUUAAGAGGUCUGCUUGUGAUGGGUCUGUUAGACAAAGGAAUAUGCUGAUGGGAUAAAAGAUGGAUAGUAUGCUGAACACCGAGAGACCAAUCCACAAGCAAAGAGUCAUCAAAGGAGUGAAGUUGAAGAAAAGCAUAAAAGGGGGGAACAAGAAAGUUUGUCAUCAUUGUUGUCAUAAAUCCAGCCUUCUACACCUGUCUGGACCACCCCAGCCCAUGAUGUACCCUUUGCUUCCAGGAACUGAGUGGUUGCCUUUUCUGAAGAGCAAUGUAACAUCUGGGAUUGGACAAAAAGUUCUUCUGACCUGAGUCAGAGAUGAUCUCUCAAAAUGUCUUGCCUGAAGAGAAGGUCUGAUGCAUUUUCCUGUUUCCUCAGUUAGAAGACAUCAUGGUUGGUAUUGCAGUGUUUUUUUUAAAUCAUUCACAGCAAGAUUUCAUUCUAAUCAAUUACCUGACAUCUAUUGGGACAGCUGUCUUUAGCUGGAUUUCCUGGCAUCCAAAGACAGUUCCUAAAAGGUUAAGUUCCUGCAAGCAAAUGCAUGGAGACCUGCUGAAGGCAGGCACUGAAAAGCAACAUAAUCUGUGGAAUUCCUCAUCUCUUCACACCCAAAACCUGGAAUAUUUCCAAAGAGACUAACAGACAUAGCCGCUAUCAGCUGCCUCAGGGUUCCUUCCAGUUCAUGACUGGCCUUGACUUGGUGAUAACCAAGAUCUUUCACUCUAUGUUUCUUGCAUCUGGAAUUCCCUGAUUCACAGUCAUACUGGAGCUUAUGGUUUAGCCCUUCUUGAUUUGCAACGGUUUAUCUACAAUUAAUUUCAGCUAAACCCACUUCAGUAUUACCCUUGAUUCCAGUCCCAAAAAUGGUUGUCAACCAUGGCGUGGCGGAAAGUAAUUCUGAAAUGGUCACAGGCUAAUCUGGAAAGAGGGAAGCUUAUUUGUUACUUACCCAGAGUUCUCUGGUUCUGAAACUAAACUGGACAUUUCAGCUCAGUUCUUUAAUUAGUAUAAAUCAGCAAAGCUCCACAGAAGUUCACAAAGUUAUGUCAAUUUACACUGAAGACACAGCCCUUCUGAAUAUAUGAAUAUAGUUCUGGGAAGGGGCCCCAGGCCAUCAAGUCCAGUCCUUUGUGCUCUAGACAGACAAUUCCCAGGGACUCCCCAAAAUCACUACUUCAAACUUCAUACACAACUAAAAAGUACAAUAGAACUGAAACAUCAAGAGCACCCUAUAACACGCAAUAGGUAAAAGCAGGGGAGAUGAGGGCAGUGUCAAUGCCCUGUCACUGCAAUGACAUUAAUAUAUGAUCGAAAGAUCCUAGAAAUAGGACUAUGCCACAUGCUAUGGAGGAAAACAAAAUUCCCCAUGUUCCAUGCCUGUAAGACUUAAGGAAAACAUUCCUUUCUGAUGCCAAAUCUGAAUGAAAACAAGAUCUUCUAGCCAGGAACCCGUGUAUUUUUAAGUCCCAGAAGGACCAUCAGUGCCCUCCAGUCAAAAAGCCCUGGCCUAGCUGUGGCCAACAUCCCAGUGCUUCAGAGGAACAUAACCUCAUACCUAUUCCCUGCUCCCAAGCUAAUAACAUUAAUGAAAGGAAAAAAAAUCCUUUUUGGCCCCUACUGGUGAUCAACAAAAGCCCUGAAGCAUGGGAUUAUCUACAUAAUCCCUAACAUACUACAAGAAACUUACCUCUGUAUCCCAAUUGAGGAUUACAAAUACAUGAUUCCACCUAUAAUUCUAACUAACUGUUGAGACAGGACUCCUUGUUUUCUCAUACCACUCCUUCCAUAAACUUUUCCAGGUCAGUCUUAGAGUGAUUCAGGUUCUUUGCCUUACAACUUUGCUCAGAAAACCAUUCCAAAACAUUAUUUCUCUGACAGUUAGAAACCUUCUUAUAAUUUCUGACCUACAUGUAUAGCUACCCAUUUAUGUAUACCCAUUUUGUAGCUCUUUUUUCUGUUCCUCCUCUUUCCUUAGUAUUCAUGCCAUGAAUGUACUUGUAAAGGGUGAUCAUAUCCCCUUUCAUCCUCUAUUUUGUUAAACCAGAAAAGAACAGGUUCUCAA